AAUCCAUAGGUUAAUGAGGCGAACCGGGGGAACUGAAACAUCUAAGUACCCCGAGGAAAAGAAAUCAACCGAGAUUCCCCCAGUAGCGGCGAGCGAACGGGGAGGAGCCCAGAGCCUGAAUCAGCAUGUGUGUUAGUGGAAGCGUCUGGAAAGGCGCGCGAUACAGGGUGACAGCCCCGUACACAAAAGCGCAUGUGCUGUGAGCUCGAUGAGUAGGGCGGGACACGUGGUAUCCUGUCUGAAUAUGGGGGGACCAUCCUCCAAGGCUAAAUACUCCUGACUGACCGAUAGUGAACCAGUACCGUGAGGGAAAGGCGAAAAGAACCCCGGCGAGGGGAGUGAAAAAGAACCUGAAACCGUGUACGUACAAGCAGUGGGAGCACCCUUCGGGGUGUGACUGCGUACCUUUUGUAUAAUGGGUCAGCGACUUAUAUUCUGUAGCAAGGUUAACCGUAUAGGGGAGCCGGAGGGAAACCGAGUCUUAACCGGGCGUUAAGUUGCAGGGUAUAGACCCGAAACCCGGUGAUCUAGCCAUGGGCAGGUUGAAGGUUGGGUAACACUAACUGGAGGACCGAACCGACUAAUGUUGAAAAAUUAGCGGAUGACCUGUGGCUGGGGGUGAAAGGCCAAUCAAACCGGGAGAUAGCUGGUUCUCCCCGAAAGCUAUUUAGGUAGCGCCUCGUGAAUUCAUCUCCGGGGGUAGAGCACUGUUUCGGCUAGGGGGCCAUCCCGGCUUACCAACCCGAUGCAAACUGCGAAUACCGGAGAAUGUUAUCACGGGAGACACACGGCGGGUGCUAACGUCCGUCGUGAAGAGGGAAACAACCCAGACCGCCAGCUAAGGUCCCAAAGUCAUGGUUAAGUGGGAAACGAUGUGGGAAGGCCCAGACAGCCAGGAUGUUGGCUUAGAAGCAGCCAUCAUUUAAAGAAAGCGUAAUAGCUCACUGGUCGAGUCGGCCUGCGCGGAAGAUGUAACGGGGCUAAACCAUGCACCGAAGCUGCGGCAGCGAACGUAUCACCCAAGACAACUUUACGGAGUUGACGAUUGACGGAGCGAAGCGACGUCAAAGCGUUCAUUAAAGUCGAGUUGGCUUAGGGAUACGUUCGUUGGGUAGGGGAGCGUUCUGUAAGCCUGUGAAGGUGUGUCGUGAGGCAUGCUGGAGGUAUCAGAAGUGCGAAUGCUGACAUAAGUAACGAUAAAGCGGGUGAAAAGCCCGCUCGCCGGAAGACCAAGGGUUCCUGUCCAACGUUAAUCGGGGCAGGGUGAGUCGACCCCUAAGGCGAGGCCGAAAGGCGUAGUCGAUGGGAAACGGGUUAAUAUUCCCGUACUUGGUGUUACUGCGAAGGGGGGACGGAGAAGGCUAUGUUGGCCGGGCGACGGUUGUCCCGGUUUAAGCGUGUAGGUGUGUGUUCCAGGUAAAUCCGGUUCACUUUAACACUGAGGCGUGACGACGAGGCACUACGGUGCUGAAGCAACAAAUGCCCUGCUUCCAGGAAAAGCCUCUAAGCAUCAGGUAACAUCAAAUCGUACCCCAAACCGACACAGGUGGUCAGGUAGAGAAUACCAAGGCGCUUGAGAGAACUCGGGUGAAGGAACUAGGCAAAAUGGUGCCGUAACUUCGGGAGAAGGCACGCUGACACGUAGGUGAAGUGAUUUACUCAUGGAGCUGAAGUCAGUCGAAGAUACCAGCUGGCUGCAACUGUUUAUUAAAAACACAGCACUGUGCAAACACGAAAGUGGACGUAUACGGUGUGACGCCUGCCCGGUGCCGGAAGGUUAAUUGAUGGGGUCAGCGCAAGCGAAGCUCCUGAUCGAAGCCCCGGUAAACGGCGGCCGUAACUAUAACGGUCCUAAGGUAGCGAAAUUCCUUGUCGGGUAAGUUCCGACCUGCACGAAUGGCGUAAUGAUGGCCAGGCUGUCUCCACCCGAGACUCAGUGAAAUUGAACUCGCUGUGAAGAUGCAGUGUACCCGCGGCAAGACGGAAAGACCCCGUGAACCUUUACUAUAGCUUGACACUGAACAUUGAGCCUUGAUGUGUAGGAUAGGUGGGAGGCUUUGAAGUGUGGACGCCAGUCUGCAUGGAGCCGACCUUGAAAUACCACCCUUUAAUGUUUGAUGUUCUAACGUGGACCCGUAAUCCGGGUUGCGGACAGUGUCUGGUGGGUAGUUUGACUGGGGCGGUCUCCUCCUAAAGAGUAACGGAGGAGCACGAAGGUUGGCUAAUCCUGGUCGGACAUCAGGAGGUUAGUGCAAUGGCAUAAGCCAGCUUGACUGCGAGCGUGACGGCGCGAGCAGGUGCGAAAGCAGGUCAUAGUGAUCCGGUGGUUCUGAAUGGAAGGGCCAUCGCUCAACGGAUAAAAGGUACUCCGGGGAUAACAGGCUGAUACCGCCCAAGAGUUCAUAUCGACGGCGGUGUUUGGCACCUCGAUGUCGGCUCAUCACAUCCUGGGGCUGAAGUAGGUCCCAAGGGUAUGGCUGUUCGCCAUUUAAAGUGGUACGCGAGCUGGGUUUAGAACGUCGUGAGACAGUUCGGUCCCUAUCUGCCGUGGGCGCUGGAGAACUGAGGGGGGCUGCUCCUAGUACGAGAGGACCGGAGUGGACGCAUCACUGGUGUUCGGGUUGUCAUGCCAAUGGCACUGCCCGGUAGCUAAAUGCGGAAGAGAUAAGUGCUGAAAGCAUCUAAGCACGAAACUUGCCCCGA
rnacentral:rRNA from 3 species